rnacentral:rRNA from 1 species
GAUUCUGGCUCAGGAUGAACGCUGGCGGCGUGCCUAACACAUGCAAGUCGAACGGAGCUUACUUGAAGGAGACUUCGGUCAACGGAAGGGUAAGCUUAGUGGCGGACGGGUGAGUAACGCGUGGAGAACCUGCCCUGUACAGGGGGAUAACAGUGAGAAAUCACUGCUAAUACCGCAUAAGCGCACAGUACCGCAUGGUACAGUGUGAAAAACUCCGGUGGUACAGGAUGGCUCCGCGUUGGAUUAGCCAGUUGGCGGGGUAACGGCCCACCAAAGCGACGAUCCAUAGCCGGCCUGAGAGGGUGAACGGCCACAUUGGGACUGAGACACGGCCCAGACUCCUACGGGAGGCAGCAGUGGGGAAUAUUGCACAAUGGGGGAAACCCUGAUGCAGCCGACGCCGCGUGAAGGAAGAAGUAUCUCGGUAUGUAAACUUCUAUCAGCAGGGAAGAUGAUGACGGUACCCGACUAAGAAGCCCCGGCUAACUACGUGCCAGCAGCAGC